rnacentral:rRNA from 1 species
AACGAACGCUGGCGGCAUGCCUAACACAUGCAAGUCGAACGAACCCUUCGGGGUUAGUGGCGCACGGGUGCGUAACGCGUGGGAAUCUGCCCUUUGCUUCGGAAUAACAGUUAGAAAUGACUGCUAAUACCGGAUGAUGUCUUCGGACCAAAGAUUUAUCGGCAAGGGAUGAGCCCGCGUAGGAUUAGGUAGUUGGUGGGGGAAAGGCCUACCAAGCCGACGAUCCUUAGCUGGUCUGAGAGGAUGAUCAGCCACACUGGGACUGAGAAACGGCCCAGACACCUACGGGAGGCAGCAGUGGGGAAUAUUGGACAAUGGGCGCAAGCCUGAUCCAGCAAUGCCGCGUGAGUGAUGAAGGCCUUCGGGUCGUAAAGCUCUUUUACCAGGGAUGAUAAUGACAGUACCUGGAGAAUAAGCUCCGGCUAACUCCGUGCCAGCAGCCGCCGUAACAC